rnacentral:sRNA from 1 species
GCUGGGCAUGGUGGUGCAUGCCUGUAAUCCCAGCUACUCAGGAGGCUGAGGCAGGAGAAUCGCUUGAACCCGGGAGGUGGAGGUUGCAGUGAGCCAAGAUCGCGCCAUUGCACUCUAGCCUGGGUGACAGAGCAAGACUCCGUCUCAA